rnacentral:rRNA from 1 species
GGGUCAGUAGGUUGGUCGUGCCACCGGUACGUACUGGUCUCACUGAUUCCUCCUUCCUGAGGAACCGUAAUGCCAUUAAUUUGGUGUUGCGGGGAAACAGGACUGUUACUUUGAAAAAAUUAGAGUGUUUAAAGCAAGCUAACGCUUGAAUACAUUAGCAUGGAAUAGUGAAAUAGGACGAUCGAUCCUAUUUUGUUGGUUUCUAGGAUUGACGUA